rnacentral:rRNA from 1 species
AUUGAACGCUGGCGGCAGGCCUAACACAUGCAAGUCGAGCGGAGCGGCGGACGGGUGAGUAAUGCCUAGGAAUCUGCCUGGUAGUGGGGGUAACGGUCGGGAACGGGCGGUAAUACGGAUUAUUAUCAGAUGAGCCUAGGUCGGAUUAGCUAGUGGGUGGGGUAAAGGCCUACCAAGGCGACGACCCGUAACUGGUCUGAGAGGAUGAUCAGUCACACUGGAACUGAGACACGGUCCAGACUCCUACGGGAGGCAGCAGUGGGGAAUAUUGGACAAUGGGCGAAAGCCUGAUCCAGCCAUGCCGCGUGUGUGAAGAAGGUCUUCGGAUUGUAAAGCACUUUAAGUUGGGAGGCGUUACCAACAGAAUAAGCACCGGCUAACUUCGUGCCAGCCGCCGCGGUAAUAC